rnacentral:rRNA from 1 species
UACUCCUACGGGAGGCAGCAGUGGGGAAUUUUGGACAAUGGGCGCAAGCCUGAUCCAGCCAUGCCGCGUGCAGGAUGAAGGCCUUCGGGUUGUAAACUGCUUUUGUACGGAACGAAAAGGUGCCUUCUAAUAAAGGGCGCUCAUGACGGUACCGUAAGAAUAAGCACCGGCUAACUACGUGCCAGCAGCCGCGGUAAUA